rnacentral:rRNA from 1 species
ACGUAGGACGCAAGCGUUAUCCGGAAUUACUGGGCGUAAAGGGCGUGUAGGCGGCACGGUAAGUCAACCGUGAAAGCUCCCGGCUAAACUGGGAGAGGUCGGAUGAGACUGCCGAGCUAGAGGGUCGUAGAGGGGUGUGGAAUUCCGGGUGUAGUGGUGAAAUGCGUAGAGAUCCGGAGGGACACCAGAGGCGAAGGCGGCAGCCUGGACGACAACUGACGCUGAGGCGCGAAAGUACGAGGAGCGAACGG